rnacentral:rRNA from 1 species
UACCAGCUCUCCGAGUGGUAGGGAUGAUUAUUGGGCUUAAAGCGUCCGUAGCCGGCUUAGCAAGCCUCCUGUUAAACUCAGCGACCUAAUCGUUGAAUCGCGGGAGAUACUACUAGGCUAGGAGGCGGGAGAGGUCGACGGUACUUCUGGGGUAGGGGUGAAAUCCUAUAAUCCCAGGAGGACCACCAGUGGCGAAGGCUGUCGACUAGAACGCGCUCGACGGUGAGGGACGAAAGCUGGGGUAGCGAACCGGAUUAGAUACCCGGGUAGUCCCAGCUGUAAACGAUGCGGGCUAGGUGUUGGGAUGGCUACGUGCCAUUUCAGUGCCGCAGGGAAGCCAUUAAGCCCGCCGCCUGGGGAGUACGGCCGCAAGGCUGAAACUUAAAGGAAUUGGCGGGGAGCACCACAAGGCGUGAAGCUUGCGGUUC